AAUCGGCUCGAAAAAAUCCGGAGAAAAUCAAUUUGCAUUCGCACGCAUUCCGCUUUUGCUAGGAUUAAUUAAAUCUAGUUUUCAAAAAAAGAACCUCCUAUCUAACUGGAUACAUGUGGAUCUCAUUAUCAUAAACAAAUACUUCAAAAAUUCUACGUGAGCGUCAUCCAAGGCCGUUUGUGUUAAAAAUUUAUGUAAUAUCUUUUCUGAGAAUUCCCCCUUUCCCAUCUGAAUUAAAUUUUAAAAUCCACCCUUUAUUCCUUGCUAGCUCGGACAGGAUAAUUUGAUAGUCGUUACGUACGUUCUCCCUUGGUAUGAUUUGGAUAAGGACCGUAAAACUUGUUAGUACUAUGUCGUCGCGGAGUGACGUGAUGUUGAGUGCUCCUGGAGAGCACUCAGAUAAGUUGAGGCAUGAAUAGAUAAACGAAUGGGAAAGCAAUUUCCCUGGAAAAGCAAAAUGGACGUUUUGUUCAGGAGCUGGGAAAAUAUCCCUUUGACAAUUCUUUCGCAAGUGACAUAUUUUUAACAAAUAAACAUAAUCAACUUAGAUAGAUUUUUAUAAUAAAAGGAACGUACAAAUAUCUACUUGGAAAAUGCAUGCUUU